CGUUGCUAGGCAAACACCAAACUUAGACAGCGGACGAAGCUUGGCUCCAAGUGGAGGAGAGCGACCCUUCUCACUCCCAGCAGUGAAAAACGCAAACCAGGCGGUGCCUCUGUCACAAGAGAACCACCACAGCUUGUGCAAGUCAGAUGAUGUGCAUCCGGGGAACUGACUUCAUCAAAUUAUCCUGGAGGGGAAAAGGCAAGUACAAAAAUGUGAACUACAGGCAGCUGGAAAGCAAAAUUCUACACAAUGAAUGACACACCAAAUCCUGCAGGGAACUAUGUACCACAAUGCAUUAUUUCCUGUGGCUUCCUGCCUGGGGGACCCUAAAGAACAGUAAAAAUUCAACCAGAAAUGAUUUCCUCAGCUGUCUCACUGAUGGAUUUAGCAAAGCUACAAAGAUUUGGUCAAAAUGUUAAGUCAUUGUGAAAUCCAAAUAUGUAUACUUAUAAAUGUUUACAUAUUGAUUCACAAGUUCCUAAAAAUAAAAGUUACAAGCAAUU